CUUGGUCAUUUAGAGGAAGUAAAAGUCGUAACAAGGUUUCCGUAGGUGAACCUGCGGAAGGAUCAUUAUUGAAUACGAUUGGUACACUGAUGCUGGCUCUUUACUGGGCAUGUGCUCGUUCCAUCUAUUUAUCUUCUCUUGUGCACAUCUUGUGGUCUUGAAUUGAAACCUCUCGCAUUCGUGCGGUUUGGGAGUGUGAAUAAACUCUGCUCCUGCUUCAUUCAAGAUCAUGUUUUCAUAUACACUAUAAAGUUACAGAAUGUCUUUUAACGAUUGCGCAAGCAGUCAUUAAACCUAUACAACUUUCAGCAACGGAUCUCUUGGCUCUCCUAUCGAUGAAGAACGCAGCGAAAUGCGAUAAGUAAUGUGAAUUGCAGAAUUCAGUGAAUCAUCGAAUCUUUGAACGCACCUUGCGCCCUUUGGUAUUCCGAAGGGCAUGCCUGUUUGAGUGUCAUUAAAUUAUCAACCUUGCUCGCUUUUACUAGCUUGAGUUUGGCUUGGAUGUGAGGGCUUGCUGGCUUCCUUCAGUGGAUGGUCUGCUCCCUUUAAAUGCAUUAGUGGGAUCUCUUGUGGACCGUCACUUGGUGUGAUAAUUAUCUAUGCCUUGGGACUUUGAAGCAAACUAAUGGGAACCUGCUUAUAACCGUCUUCGGACAAUCUCUGACAUUUUGACCUCAAAUCAGGUAGGACUACCCGCUGAACUUAAGCAUAUCAAUAAGCGGAGGAAAAGAAACUAACAAGGAUUCCCCUAGUAACUGCGAGUGAAGCGGGAAAAGCUCAAAUUUAAAAUCUGGCGGUCCUUGUGGCCGUCCGAGUUGUAAUUUAGAGAAGUGUUAUCCGCGCUGGACCGUGUACAAGUCUCCUGGAAUGGAGCGUCAUAGAGGGUGAGAAUCCCGUCUUUGACACGGACUGCCAGGGCAUUGUGAUGCGCUCUCAAAGAGUCGAGUUGUUUGGGAAUGCAGCUCAAAAUGGGUGGUAAAUUCCAUCUAAAGCUAAGUAUUGAGGAGAGACCGAUAGCGAACAAGUACCGUGAGGGAAAGAUGAAAAGAACUUUGGAAAGAGAGUUAAACAGUACGUGAAAUUGCUGAAAGGGAAACGCUUGAAGUCAGUCGCGUUGUUCAGGACUCAGCCUUGCUUUGCUUGGUGUACUUCCUGUUCGACGGGUCAGCAUCAAUUUUGGUCGGUGGAUAAAGGCUUAGAGAAUGUGGCAUCUUCGGAUGUGUUAUAGCUCUGGGUCGCAUACAUCGGCUGGGAUUGAGGAACUCAACACGCCGCAAGGCCGGGUACUUGUACCACGUACGUGUUUAGGAUGCUGGCAUAAUGGCUUUAAUCGACCCGUCUUGAAACACGGACC
rnacentral:rRNA from 1 species